AUCACCAUUCCUGUUUCCUGCUUCUCUUUGUUUCACCACGUGGCCAUCACCCAUGAGGCAGACAAACUCCAUUGCCAUCAAAUCAGUUAAGUUCAAGCCAAUUAGCAGAACAAGAUAUGCCAAAGUUGGGUUUGCAGCUUGAACUGUUUUAUGGAAGUACUUGAAUUUUCACUGAGUGCUAGAGAGAUUAUCUAGGAGAUCUGAAGAUGACAGAUGGUACCAAUAUGACAGAUGAUGACCCGGACAGACUGGAGAGCUGGGCACAGAGGAACCAGAUGAAGUUCAGCAGGGACAA